GCGGACGUGGCGAAACUGGUAGACGCAAGAGACUUAAAAUCUCUCGGCCUCAGGUCAUGCGGGUUCGAUCCCCGCCGUCCGCA
rnacentral:tRNA from 1 species